rnacentral:rRNA from 1 species
GAUGAACGCUGGCGGCGUGCCUAAUACAUGCAAGUCGAGCGAAUGGAUUAAGAGCUUGCUCUUAUGAAGUUAGCGGCGGACGGGUGAGUAACACGUGGGUAACCUGCCCAUAAGACUGGGAUAACUCCGGGAAACCGGGGCUAAUACCGGAUAACAUUUUGAACCGCAUGGUUAGAAAUUGAAUGGCGGCUUCGGCUGUCACUUAUGGAUGGACCCGGGUCGCAUUAGCUAGUUGGUGAGGUAACGGCUCACCAAGGCAACGAUGCGUAGCCGACCUGAGAGGGUGAUCGGCCACACUGGGACUGAGACACGGCCCAGACUCCUACGGGAGGCAGCAGUAGGGAAUCUUCCGCAAUGGACGAAAGUCUGACGGAGCAACGCCGCGUGAGUGAUGAAGGCUUUCGGGUCGUAAAACUCUGUUGUUAGGGAGGAACAAGUGCUAGUUGAAUAAGCUGGCACCUUGACGGUACCUAACCAGAAAGCCACGGCUAACUACGUGCCAGCCGCCGCGGUAA